GGCAGCAGUCUGCUGCAGUGACAAUGUGUGCUGCAGAGCAGGGCAGUUUGUGUGUUAACACAGAGCACAGUUCUGUCUUUCACAGCACUCAGGUGAGGUGAGGAUGGUGCUGCUCCUGUCCCGUUUGCUGCUGACAGAACCAGCAGGAGCAGAUAUGGCUCUCAGGGUUCAGAGCCCCUUUCCACCAUUUGUCUUGGUUACAUCUGCACUGCCCUACAUAUGGUAAGCCCCUCUGCAGAAUUCACCUGAACUACUCACAGUAGUCAGGCUUUUACAGGCUCUUGUUUAUUGUGUUAAACAUGGCUUGUAAAAUGAAGUAUGGAGCAUUAAUUAAAAAGAUUUGGAUUCAUGAGGCAUCAUAAUGGAGUUCAAGGUACAGCUAUCACAGAUGUCCAAAGUUAUAUUUAAAAAAUAACGAUUUUUAAAAAAGAUUCCUUGAUGUCCAUUUGUUUUAGCAUGUCUAAAUGAAUAAUGGAAAUAAUUACCUUCAAAUACAUUAUCUUCAUGCCUCACUGUACUUAAACAGAUGCUUGAUCUUAGCAUAGGACUAGUUUUGUUCACUCUAAAGGGACUAAGUUCUUGCUUAGCUUUAAGCACAUUUAAACAUCUUUUUAUGCAGGGGGUGAUAUUUCAAAAAAAUAUAUCAGCUUCUUUGCAUAAAAUAAAUGUUAAAAUAUCAUAUAAUGUAUAAUUUAUGCCAACCAAUUAGCAAGUUAAAAAUUCAGUAUGAAAAAAGGUGUAUCAUUAGACCGUGCAUUUCUUGCUGCAAGAAAUUUUUUAAAAAUGUGUUUAACUAUCUGGAGGUGUAAUUUUAUAUUCCUAAGCAAGAUUUUGUCCAGAGGAUUGUUAUGGGCUUGAGAAACUUCGUUCUUUGCAGCUUGACUCAGAGAGUUCUUCAGUGGCAUGAACAACUUGUAGUUAAAUAAAAUUGUGAGUGUGUAUCAGAAAGUCAAGUUAUUCCCCUAAGAAAUAGUUUUUUAUUCUUCAUAUGGAUAAGGUAGAAUUAACAUUCUGUAAGACUUACAUUUUGUGUAUUGAUAUCUGGUAAAAAAAUGAUACAAUCAAUGGAUGAAAAAGAAAUGGACAUCUCAGGAGUCAUAGAAGGAUGCCAAGAUCAAGGAAUAGGAAGAAGCCAGACAGUAAGAGAGCAUAUGUGUAGCAACAUAUGUCUUGUAAUCUACCAGUGAUAGCACUUGACUUGAAAUUGGACAUAGCUGAAUUAGAUCUUAAAGAUCAGCUAGUUUUAAUGUGCUGUCAUUUUGCACAAUUCAUUAACUAACUGAUAUUGGCAUUUUGGCAAGUAAUUAGUACUGAAUUUCAAAUACAAGAGUUUAAGUAUUAGGAUUUCAUUCUUAUGGAUAUGAUGGCAUAGUUAUGAAAUGUUAUCUCUGCUAUUAAUUCCUCUAAAUCUGACAUCAGAAAAAAAUGUGUUUUAUAGAAAAUGUGGGCAGGGAUGCACACUGCUUUGUAUUUCUCACUCUUGUGUAAUUCAGUUAAGAACUGAAAAAAAGAGUUUUCAGAUAAGUCCCUGGUCUGGGGUGUGCCUUUUUGAAGAAAAUCCUGCUGGAGUGUUGUAAGUUCCAUUGUAAUGAGCUGUUUCUGGUUGAAAAAAAUGAAAAGAGGGAACCAAUUUUUAGAGAUUCUGAAUAGAUUGGUGGUGAACAUGAAUCGAUAAUUAAAGUACCUCCUAUUUAGAAUUCUAAGUAAUAUUUUUGACUGCCUGAGCAGGAAUAUGAGAGCAUAUUAAGUUUUGAGAAGUUAAGAAAGAAAAAUAGUUAAAGAAAGAGUUGUGUCUUCAAGGUCCUAAUCCAGCAAAAUUUGUACAUAAAUAAUAAGCACUAAACAAUUCCUUUAUCUUCAUCCAGUGCAACCCUUCAGACUUUGAACAAAGCCACGAUGUCAGUGAAAUGUAAGCAUGCAUUCAGAAUAAAUAUUUAUGAAAUAAUUUCAAAUAUUCAGUAAUGUUAAUCCCAGAUUAUAAAACAGACUGACCAUAAAUAUAUAUGACUUCUGUCACUCAAUUCCUCCAAGCCCUCCACAAAGAGAAAAAAAAGAAAAAAAAGAUAAAAUUCACUUUUGUUAUAUUCUAAUUUAUAGCCUCUUUAUAGCCUUGAACAUCCCCUUUAUUCACAGACCUUCUGAAACUUUAUUCCCAGAGAUGUUAGACUGGAAAUAUGGAAGCAACUUGUGGUAUCAAAGAGAUGUAGUCCUUCCUAAAAUGGCAGCUCUUCAGUUUUCAGAGCAAGAUAUGGGAAGCACAGGCAAAGGGUCAUCAAAUGAAAACUUGCUGACCUGAUGGCUGGCUCCUUAUAUCUCUUUUUAGGUUGAGGCUGAGGUUGCUUCACAGUCUUGACCAGAUUCUGCAUACUCAAUUGUUUUGUAUUAAUCUAUUCAGUAAUCACAGAUGUUGCUAGCUUUAACAAGAAAUAAAGUUUGUGGGUCAAGUUUUUCUUUCCUGAUGAAGCAUAAAAAUAAUUAUUAACUUUGAAAAUAAUUUUCUUUGUGGCAUUUGUUUUAGUAUUUAAUGGAACUGUUGACUUUUAAACCUCAGCCAGCUCCUUCCUACAUCUCCUAAAUUCCUGUUGUUAGCUUAGGUACCUUUUGUUAUUUCCUGCAACAUAUUUGCCGAAACAGCCUUAUCUUGCUCUUGUAUGAUUAUUUCAAAAUCAUCUAAUGUGCCUUGAGUUAAGUCAAUGAGAGAUGUUCUUUCUGUGAAACAAGUCAUCCAUGAAAUGAGGUCAGCAGUCCUUCUUCCUGAAUCUCCCUUAUAUUCCUUCAUAAAUUUGUCAUGUCAUCAUAACUCCCAUUUAAAUCAGAAAAAGAGGCAGAGGAGAAAUGGAAGACAGAUUAUUCUAUAAAUUUUGAGUAUUCUAUUUGGUCCCUUUUUAUGACAUUGCACCUACAACACUCUUGUUAUUGGAGAAGAUUUAAUGCUCCUUCAGAGUGCUUGGUUUGGUGGUUGACAGUCAUCAGAGACUCUUUCUGGAGCUGCUCCAAUAACAUGUGCCUGCUCUUUAUUAUUGGUAGGACAUGGAGAUUUUAAGCCCUGAUUGGCUGAAUAUGACAUGAUUUGGGAGUAAAAACAUGCAUUCUUCCCUUUCAAUGUCAGCGUUUCAAGUCUGGAAUAUCACAAGUUUAAUUUCCCUUCCAUCAAACAUGGAUAAAAGACCUAAGCUAAGGACAAUAACCUGAUGUUGAGAGGAUGAAUUUCUGGUAUGUAGAAUGACUGCCAUAAACUUAGAGACUUUGCUAGGUCUGAGACAGACUGACUAGCCUAUUAAAAUCUCCAAGAUUAAAAGUACAUGUCCUCAGUCAUAGUAAAAGUAAAUAAUGAAGUCCUUUGUGUUGUGAUUUGAUUUUUGGAUUUGAAGAUAACUUCUAAAAAGAACUCCACUUUACCUGGAUUAGUACCUAUGGUGUCAAUCUUCUGAAAGAACUCUAAACUAUAAUUGAAGUUUCUAUCUUCUGUCCUUUUCUACUUAUUCCAUAAGAGAUGCUGAGAAAGAUAUAUUUUCUUGUUUCAAAGUUCAGCUAUUCUUUCCUUGAUCAGAUUGUUUUUCUCCUGCUUCAUUCCCCUGCCCCUGACUCCAACUCGUAAUAGGUGUUAUUAUAUUUCAGUAUCCUAAGUUUAUGUUUCAUGCUGAGAGAAAAUAAUACUCUUGAUUAAAAAGUAAACUACAUGUAGUGUAAUAUUUAAAGUAGUAGAUUUCAGUCAUCUUUGAUUAUGCUUCCUCAAGCAUAUCUUUAUCUACAAACUGUUUAAAAUUCACAAAAUGCGCAAAAAAUUUUGUUUGACCGUUCUGCUAUUCUUGUUACUCUAUUGAAUUGAGCCUGUCUCAUGGUUUAUGCGUAUUCUGUUUUCUGGCUGGAAAAGGGAAAGCUAUUCUCAUCUUUUAUGCUACAUGCUAGUAUAAUGUAGAUAAUAAAUCAUGUAAAACUUCAAGCAUUUCUUUCAUGAAAGGCAAAAAAAGUUUUUCUGAAAAAAAAACCCCACACCAAAGCAAGAGCAGAGAGAAAUAAUUAAACUAUUUUUUAUUACUUGUACAUGUUUCAAAUCCAAUUUAUUUCAAAAUCUGCAUGUUGCUAAAUAACAAGCAAUGGUACUACAUGCCACAUUAAGGAUUUAAGGAAUUCAUUAGAAUGAUUUAAACUUUUUUUGGGCAAAAGUCAAAAGAACUGGCAAAAUAUCAGAGCUGAGAAUAACACCCAGGCUAUUGCUGUGCCAGUUGCUGCACUUGCUACAACAGACCUAAAUGGGUUAUUCUUAAGCUUCUAACAUGAAAGUAUAUUUAGCAUUUUAAAAAUACUUUUCUUUCAUUUUGAGGCAGUUUUGUAAGAAGUGCUAUGGAAAUCUAAGGCACAGAAAAAUCUUUUAAAUCAUCAAUGCUUGAACAUAAGCAAUGAAAGCAGGGUUUAAAUUGUCUCGCAGACAAAUAAUACUUCCUGUUGAGCUGACCCAUUCCGUGACACUAUUUAAGUGAAUUUUUCUUGCUGUUUAUGAUCUCUUAUUUGCUCUGUUACACUUCAAAGCUGUGUUCUAUAAUUUCAGACAGCUUCUGGAACUUUCAUCUUCAGGACCUUGAUGCUUUACUUAAUUAAGUGAUGUACAGGCUUCAAGAUAUGGAGUUUGGACAUAAAGGAUUAUGUUAAAUGACAUAGAGCUGAUCUGAUCUGAGGUUCCAUAUGAUGUGGAACUGGGGAUCAAGUGGCCCAAGAUGUGGGCUACCCUCUUCAGCUGGAUUGCCUGUAAAUCUGCAAUGGGUAAAAAAUGCUCACUCUAGGUAUAAAAGACUCUUGGGCACAUGGUGUGACUCUUGGGGAUGGUGCUGUGAGGGCUGGGAGUUGAUGAUCCUUGUGGGUCUCUUCCAGCUCAGUUUGUUAUGUAAUUCUGUGAAUAUCAGCACAAAGCUUGACAUAAAUUUCCUUCCCUACAAAGACCACACUUGUAUAGUUUGGGCAAAAAGAUGCUUCCUUUCUGAUUCUGAUCAUGUUGAAGUAUGUACAGUAAAGUUAGUUAACAUCUCGUGCUUGUCAAGAACAGUACGAUUUCAGUACAUACUUGGUACCCUAGGAACCUUAAAAAAAAAAAAAAAAAAAAAGAAAAAAAGGAAAAGAUAAGAACUGUCCUUCAGAUUAAUAAGAAGACUGGUGUUCUUUUAAAGAUCAAAAAUUGAUACAUGCUAUAUUUCGGCACUAUGAAAUUUCAGUGUAUGCAUCCAAUUCUGUCUGCCUGUGAUCCUGAAUUCCUUGUGUGGGUCAAAUUUUAUUUUAACCACCAAACAGUUACUUGUCAAACCCUGUAAAGUUCACCAGUUCCCUAAAAAAGUCUUUAGAAUCUUGAGUUGUAGAAGUAUUUCAGAGACAUAAUUUCUUCUCUCUCCUUCAUUAUUUCAUCCUUUGGAUGGGACAAGUAAUGAUUAGUUAGUUAAUAUUCAUAAAAUAUUUGGCAUGUAUAAUAAGUUGAUUUGCCAGGCUUUGUUUAGGUAGCAGAUUGAAUGAUAAGGUGCAUUCAUGGAAGCUACCCUACUGGAGACUUAGUGGAACAUCUUAUAUGCUGACAUUUAUGUAGGGGAAAAAUACAUAUGUGGAAGAAAUACAACUGCCUUCAACAGAAAGCUAUUUAUCCCCCUCUUGUAAUGCAAAAUAAUAGAAGAUAGAAGGAUGGCUGACUGAGGAAGAAAUUGUCAGCCAGUUAGGGAAGGUGAAUGAAAGCUAAAAAGAAUCAGUGGGAAAAUUAAUAUUAUAUUUUAAAUUCAAUCCAGCAUCUGUUCCUGUUGAAACUGGUUAAGGCUCUGGAAGAGGCUGCUGGCUGGGCUGGCAACUCUAACUAACCCAGCAUUACCAGAGGACUGUUCUCUGAUGGAUACAUCUGCUUAGAUCAAGAGGUUGAAAGGGGCUCAAUUUGUAACCGGUGUGUUGGAAAGUCAGGUUCAACAAGAUUUCCUCUGUGUGUGUGCAUGUGUGUGUAUGGAACAAGACAGGAAAAUUUUCUUUCAGUAUAUAGUGAAAGGAAGAUGAUUAAUGAUUUAGGAUUCUUUUCACACUGCAGUAAAAAUUAAUUAAAGAUGUGCUGCCUUUAAGCAAUUCUAUGCUUACAAUGAUAAAUAUGGAAAUGUGCUGCAUUUUGCUGAAUAAAACCCACUGUCUUUACAACACACAGAAAAGAAUUGUAUCCACAUCCUCUUUUAUGUAAACACUGUGAAAUUCAAUUGUUAAGGGUUCAGCUGAAUGUCUCUCCAUGAUUAAAGAAAAGCAAUACUGGUGGUAGCAUCUUGAAUAGCAAAUACUUUUUCUCACUUAAGAAAGAAUUGGAAAGAAAAGAUUUUUGUCUUCUGUGGACAUAAGGGCAAGUGAAGGGAAGAGGCAGGAUCAAUAAAUGCUUUCAGUAGCUAAAUAUAUUACAAUUAUGCUGAAUGGGGGGAGAAAUAUUUUUGGUAUUGUUUAUUAAACUGAAUUGUGUUAGAUGUGAGCUCUGAAUCUAUUAUCACAAAUAGGUCCCCAAUCCCUUACCCCUUCUAUUCUUACAAAAUGAAGCUACCAGAGUAAUAUUCCUUUCUAUUGACACUGAGACAUAAUUCCUCUUUUCAAAUCCCAAUGGCUGUCUCUCUAUUACUAUAUUAAAUAAAACCUCUUGUUCUCAAACUUCCACAUAACUUUGAACAUAACUGCAGCUUUAUUUUCCUCUAGUCCAUUUCCUUUUUCCUUCCUCUAGUUGCCAUUUUGAGGGUGUUGGGAGCAUUCCUGGUCUUUUUGCUUCCUCCCUGCCUCCUGCACAGCAGCUGCACAAGCCUGUCCUAGAGACUGUGUAGGAUAGCCCCAGCAGCCUCUUAGAUCAACCUCUGCAAUGCUGCCAGAAGGGACUUGUUCAAAAAGUGCCUUUCAUCUGCUUUCUGCUUGCUCACCUGUCCUUCAGGCUUGUAAAGCCUGCUGCAGCUUACAGUGAUUAUACAGCAAACCAAGGUUAGAAAAAAAAUAUUUAGCAAAUCCUAUUCAUUAGGAACCUGUGUGUGAUCUAGCUAUUCUUAUAGAAAAAUGCUUUAAUAUUGCUGCUGAUUUACUGUUAAGUGAGUAUGUGCAGGUCUCUGUAUGACACAUCAACUAGAGAAUUUAAUUGGUCAGAUGAGAAUACAAAUAUUCACAGGAAUAUUUCUUGUUCCCUUUGGAAUCUGUGGAUAAAGGGGAAAAAUGGAAACUGAGAAACUGAGAGCUAAGCAUGUAACUGCUUUCUAGAGAUAAAGCAGAAUUAUUUGCAGAGUUUGAAGUAGCAGCAGUGGGUGGGCAGUAGCUUCUGUGCCCCCCUUCAGCCAUGUCUGUGUUUUCUCUUUUGAAAGCAUUAUCCUUAUGUCCUUUAUGUGUUGACCAGUGUGUGAAAAGAGACUUGCACGUCUCAGUGCCAAGGCACUGUAACUACAUUGGUAUCAGUGGGAUUACAAACUGAAGGGUCAUCCCAAUCUGUCCAUUUAGGAAUUAAGACAUAGCUAAGAUGCAGAGAGAAGGAUAUACUGGUUUCAUGAAAAUUCAGCUAAACACAGAUAUAUUUUUUGGCAUGAAAUAAAAUUUUCUUGUAAUAUGGAUAAAGAUAAUAUAGAACUAAAAGUUCUAGGAAACUGACAGAUGACUUUUUAGCACCUCUGAGGAUGAAUGUUUUGAUGUAGGCGUAAUGUGCUAAUGAAUUAGCCUUUCAAGUACAAAUGGAGCAAAUAUGCCUCAUUCUAGUCCUAGAGCAUGAAAAGUGUUUGCUCAAACCUAAAAAUGAUCAUAUGCUUCAGCAAACCAUGACAUGAGUGGAAAUUUCCACUUGGUCAAUAGCAAGUAGGUUUUUUUGGUACAGGCUUUAGAAGUGCAGUAAGUAAAAUUAAUGUAAUCUUGUGUAGUUUAGGAUAAUAUUUUACCUAUGUUUCAAUCAGUGUUUCUGAGGCUCGGAUAGAAGAAUUAAGUAAGCUAGAAAGAGAUGAAAACAUGAGUUCUCUGAGCUAGGUUACAGGAGGCGUAUGACCAAACAUAUUUGAGAAGGCGUGUGCCCUUGGGAUAUAUUUCUGUUUGCCAGCAGAUUUUCCCUCUUCUCUUGCAGUGGAACCAGGUCUGUCCUUGAAAAAUUCUCUUAAAAAUCUUAGAAGUCAAGUAAAAACCCAGUGGAGGAAGACUUCAAAUCUGCUUAAUUCUGCAGACAGAAAUAUUAAAUAAAAAUAGGAAAGAUUUUCUGACCACAAGUGAAAAACAGCCGGGAAUAUAGGUUGCCACAAAGCCAUUUUCAGUGAGGAAGGUUAGAGAUGCUUGCUCCAGCAGCCACCAUCCUCCAUUAGUGCCUGUAGCUACACCAGCCUGUGGGUCAUGUUUUAACUAGAGGUUUUUCUAUGCCUGCUUUAUAGUUUGCAGUCCAUUUAGUUCUGUCUGUGCCUUUGCAAGGGCCUGAUUAAAACCAGAACACUGGAAUGAUGUAUGUUAAAAAAAAACCUCCUCUUAAAAAGGGAGAAAGAGUGAGAGGUGUUAUUGGAUAUAACUGUUUAUUCUGGCAAGGGAACUGUGAAUUGUCUUAAAUGGCCAGCAGCAGCUCAGCCUCUCCAAGUCAGGGGAGUGAGGGAGUGUUUGUACUUACAGGCAGUAAUUACAGCUGCUGCUCAUUCCCUACUCUAGAGAAAUUAAGCUGCUCCAGAUUUGAGCAGUACAAAGUGCUAUGUCUCAGUGCCUGUUGACUUUUAUUUUUCUUCCUUCCCUCCUGCAGCACCUCCCUCCUUUGUGCUGCGUCAGCGCAAGUCUUUGUUCAUGUUAGGUGGAUUGGGAAUUAGGGAAUUAAUCUGACUAAAAAAACACAGCAAACCCGAUUACUUACUUCUAUGCCUAAAACCCCUCUGAUGUGAGUAAUGAGGACUAAGUGUACAGAACGAAAUUACUGUAGGAUUCCUUUAAGUACUGGAAAAACUUGGGCAUCUUAUGUGUGCCUAACAGACAACCUUAUUCUAUGCUCACAGAAAUAAUGGAGUUACAGAAAAGGUGGUGUAAAAAAGCAUGACUAUCCAUCAAUUCCAUCCUUUCUAGUAGGCAGGCUGUCACAAAACAUUAAUAAAAUCUCAUUGUUACUCAGCUUUAAACUGUCAACAUCAGCAGUGCUGUGCCAUAACUAAGUACAAAUCUUAUUAGGAAAAAAGCAUUACCUUUUAGAUUUUCCUCUAAAGAAGAAAUAUCUCACUGUUGCAUUCAUUGCUAAACAGAAACUCUAUUAUUUCAGUAAACAGUUUAUAAACAUUAAAAGAAACUGAGUGAGAUUUAUGGGAUUUAAACCAUAGUUUCAUUAUUUGUUAACAGGCUUUAGCUCCUGCAUGGUACUUCAAACAUCCCUCUUGAAUACACUUUUCUGAGUUUUGUGUCUUGAAAGACUGAAAAAAAAAAUAUCUUUCUUACCUGAGGUGGAUUUUCUCAGAAAAUCAGCAAGAAGACCUGAUGUCAAUUACAGGUUUAAGCAGCUGUACAAACAUCACUGAAUAUGCAAAAAUGCAUCUUCAAUGAAUACUUUCUAGUUAGACUAUUAUUUCUCUCAUUAAUAUUUUAAAGUUUUUUUUUUUUUAAUUAAAAUUAAUUUAAGAGACCUGCUAAGAAAAAAUUAGUUAUAACUUAAUUUCCCUUUGACUGGUCUUAUAAUGCAUUGCAUUAAGCAAGAAAUUAUUGUAUAGUGUAUGAUUGUAUGAUUUGUAUGACAAAGUAUGAUGUCUGCUGAUGCCAAUACAUAUACAAAUGGGCUGAAAGGUUAAUACAUCAUAAUUGUGCCUUUGCAGUGACAAGCAAAAUUUGUAACUGGCUUCUUUAUAUUUACAACAAAAUAUUUAUCUUUUCAAUGGACAGGAAUACCCACAAAUGUUUAUUGAUUUUAUUGACAGAUUAACAACUUAUUUUAAAAAUGCAUGAACCUUAUAUAUCAUCCAUUAUUUUAAUAUUUUACUCUUUAUGGGGAUGGGAUAAGAGAAGUCAAUUGUAAUUUGAUUGAAUAAAUGUCAUGCAAGAAGUUUCAUAGAAUAACAAUCUUGCAAAGAAAUGCUCUAGCAGGGGUUUAGUGUGCUGUGUCCUCUAAGAACUAUUUGGUAGUUCUAGGAUGCACAUGAGUAUGUCUGUAGAGGUAAAGAUGACAAAUUCACUGACCUCUAUGCUCUAAAGAUGAAGGCUCGACUAUCAUGAUAAAAAGGAAUGUUUAGUGGCAGGAACAGGAAAGAAAGGAAAGUUGCACUUUUCUGAGAAGCUGAAAUUCAGAGGCUGAUAAGAUCUGAAUGUUGUGAAGGCUGUAAAAUCACUGGGGAUAUGGGAGAAUAUGGAUAUGGAAGUAUGUUUUAGUAGCUGCCAAACCUGUGGUGUAGCUAGAUCAGUGUAUAAACUAAAUUGAAACAAUGCCACAGCAAUGCCCUGUCAAAAUUCCACCAUCAAGCAAAAAUGCUGUACUAAAUGAGGCAAAAAUGAAGUAGAUUAGAUGCUUUCAACAGCUUCUGAGCCAGCUGGUGGCAUUACCAGGAUGGAGGUUUGCACAGUGUCUAGCCAGUCAUUCAUAUCAGCCAUUGCUUUGCAGAGAUAUUCUUAUUUUUUUACUCAUAUUAUAACUACACAAAAAAAGCUGCACUUUCAGCCAAUGAGCAAAGAGUGUAUCAAUAGGAAAUUAGUAGUGGACUUCUGCAUGGUUCAGCAAGGUGAUUACAAACUGAAUUUUUUGUCUGUAGUUUUUCGAGUGCGGGAAAAAAAAAUCUUGGCUAGAAUGAUUACAGUCAGGAGAAACCAAUUAAUUAGAUUUGUGUCCCGUGGAAUGUCUCAGGUGUAUUAAUCUCUAUGUAAAUUCUGUUUUCAAGUAGUCAGAAAAAGCCUCUUUACAGCCAUUCCUCCCUAAAAAAUGGUAAAUAAAAAGUGGAGGCUGUUGGUAGAUUCAUGUUUGAGAUAUUUUUCAUCAUUCAAAGAUAAUCAAAUAUUCUAAGAAAAAGAAGAUAUUCUAUGAAAAUGUAAAAUGAAGUGAUAACCCAACUUUCUCCCCUGCUGCUGAGUAUUUUGUGUGUUAUCUGUGGCUGUAGUGCUCUUAAAACAAAGCAAGGACAUUAUUCAUUCAGAAUCUGUAGUAUUAAGGUUGUGAAGUCAAGCACUCAUAAGAUAAGAAGUGCCAGUUUAGGUUCCCAUCUGCAUCUUAUUUUGUCCCUACCUAGCUGUUUAUGUUGCUAGCUGUUUUUUGAAAAAUUCAAAUUCCAUUUCUUGUUACAUUAUUUUGGCAUAUUUAAACACCUCUGGUUUUUUAACUUUGCCUACCCAGCCAAACGAUUUAAAAGUCUGUAAUUUCUGUAAAAAUAUUCCUGAUGCACUGGCAGGAUAUUUGUAAAGCAUGUCCUGGAAUUGCUUUCACAACUGUAUCAGGUCUCCCUAUUGCUGAGCAAGGUGCCACGGCAGGUCUGUCUUUACUGACAUAAUCCCUUCUAGAGUACCUGAGCCACCUCCUUCAUCCCUGUCCUACCUAUCAUUCAUUCUUGCUUUAUCCAAGGUGUAUUAACCACACUCAAAGUGCAGCCUUUCUAUAAUGCUGGGUCUUUUCAGGCUGCUCUGUACUUCAUGCAGUAGCAAAGGGUGUUUGAGAAAGGGCUUUUAUGUGUGGUAGAGAUGGUGCUGACUGCCUUGUACCCUGUGAAGCUGAGAGAUGUGCCAAUGACAGGAGUAGGGUUAGGGUGAGAGAAGAAUGAAAA